UCUUAUACACAGAUGCUUUUGGUGUUUUUUGUUGUAAAAUAAAACAAGGCAUUUAUCACUGUUGGAAAUUAUUACAGGUAUUAUUUGUAACACUUUCUAACAUUGUAUGGACAAAGCAAUAAAUCAGUUAAUGGAUAAAAUCAUUUGUAUUACAGAUGCUAUCAACAGCAUGUCUUGUUCAUUUUAUUUAGUUGUCGGCCUUGGAUGAUGAGGUCCAGUUACCAGGAGCACUAGUCUGCAGCUUACUGGUUCCGUCCUGCAGCUCCUCCACGCCGUCCUCCUCUCUACAGACCAAAUCAAGAAAAGGGAACCAGGAAGCUGCUGUGGAUCCUCUGCAGUAUCUGGAGAGGUCAGAGGAACGGUUCUUGGAACAGAUUGGAAGACACCAAGACGUGACCUCUGCCAUUCUCCAGAACAUCCAGAAGAUGAAUGAAAACCUUGGCUGCACUGAUUGGACGCAUGGUGUCGGUGCUGGAGCAACUGUCCCAGAAUUAAACUGCAUUGUUGACUAUUGGCUUUUCUAGAAAAUAAAUCUUUUUUAGUACUUCACCUGUUUUGUAUUUUACUCAUGCACUUUGGGUGAAUAAACAGAAAUUUGUGAUGAGA